rnacentral:rRNA from 1 species
UACGGAGGGUGCGAGCGUUGUCCGGAAUCACUGGGCGUAAAGGGCGCGUAGGCGGCUCAUGAAGGCUGUGGUGAAAGUCCGGGGCUCAACCUCGGAUCGGCCGUGGCGACUCGUGGGCUGGAGCACUGUAGAGGCGGGUGGAAUUCCGGGUGUAGCGGUGGAAUGCGUAGAGAUCGGGAAGAACACCAGUGGCGAAGGCGGCCGGCUGGGGGCGCCCUGACGCUGAGGCGCGAGAGCGUGGGGAGCAAACCGG